rnacentral:rRNA from 1 species
UACGGAGGGUGCAAGCGUUAUCCGGAUUUACUGGGUUUAAAGGGUGCGUAGGUGGGUCUGUAAGUCAGUGGUGAAAUCUCCGAGCUUAACUCGGAAACUGCCAUUGAUACUAUAGGUCUUGAAUUAUCUGGAGGUAAGCGGAAUAUGUCAUGUAGCGGUGAAAUGCUUAGAUAUGACAUAGAACACCAAUUGCGAAGGCAGCUUACUACGGCUAUAUUGACACUGAGGCACGAAAGCGUGGGGAUCAAACAGG